AGAGUUUGAUCCUGGCUCAGAGCGAACGCUGGCGGCAGGCCUAACACAUGCAAGUCGAACGAACUCUUCGGAGUUAGUGGCGGACGGGUGAGUAACACGUGGGAACGUGCCUUUAGGUUCGGAAUAACUCAGGGAAACUUGUGCUAAUACCGAAUGUGCCCUUCGGGGGAAAGAUUUAUCGCCUUUAGAGCGGCCCGCGUCUGAUUAGCUAGUUGGUGAGGUAAAGGCUCACCAAGGCGACGAUCAGUAGCUGGUCUGAGAGGAUGAUCAGCCACACUGGGACUGAGACACUGCCCAGACUCCUACGGGAGGCUGCAGUCGAGAAUCUUUUGCAAUGGGCGAAAGCCUGACAAUGCGACGCCGCGUGAGGGAUGAAGGUCUUCGGAUCGUAAACCUCUGUCAGGGGGGAUGAUGCUCAUUCGAUUUAAUAAAUCGAAUGAGUGACAGUACCUCCAAAGGAAGCCACGGCUAACUCCGUGCCAGCAGCCGCGGUAAUACGGAGGUGGCAAGCGUUACUCGGAUUUAUUGGGUGUAAAGGGCGUGUAGGCGGUUGUGCAAGUCGAACGUGAAAUCCCAUGGCUUAACCAUGGAACUGCAUUCGAAACUGCGCGACUCGAGUAUGGGAGAGGAGAGCGGAAUUCCCGGUGUAAGGGUGAAAUCUGUGGAUAUCGGGAGGAACACCAGUGGCGAAGGCGGCUCUCUGGCCCAUAACUGACGCUGAGAUGCGAAAGCGUGGGGAGCAAACAGGAUUAGAUACCCUGGUAGUCC
rnacentral:rRNA from 1 species